ACCUGUAAGGGAGAGGAGAAUAGAAAUGGAGGAGAGGCUACUUGAAAUGGAGGAGAGAGGAUUGAUGGAGAGACUUGAAUGGCAGAAGGAGAGAAUAACAAUGGAAAGGGAAAUUGAAAUGUUAAGAAGAAGAUUGAGGACCCAGAAGAGACCAGAGUCUCCUGAACCUGAACCAACCUGAACCUGAACCUGAACCCAGCUGUGUGUCCUUUAAGAGCGACCGGUCACAGGAACGCUUUAUUAACUUUAAAGGAGAACAACCCUCUGCUGAAAAGAGGAUCCAUCAAAGACCAGACUCUGCUGGACCUGAACCCAGCUGUGUGUCCUUCAAGAGUGACCGGUCACAUGAUCACUUUAUUAACUUUAAAGGUCAACAACCCUCUGCUGAAAAGAGAGUGGACCAGGAGAUCUCAGAGGUUCCCAGUGCUCAGUCUGCCCAGCAGCAUCAAACACACCUGGACUCCAUAUUUAUGCUGCUGGAGGAGAACAUCUGCACU